rnacentral:lncRNA from 1 species
CUGACGUCUAGACCUAGACGGUGGCUCAGCCUGAACCCUGGACGGCCUGGAGCACAGCCAUGCAACUGCUUCUAAGACAAAACCGAGCAGGAGCAUCUGCCAACGUCUCCACAUUGUGGACCUGAGAUUGUUCUCCGGAAGCUGCAGUCGGAGCAUCGCCAGGCCCAGCCCUGGGUCCUCCACCCGGGCCACUGCCUCUCAGGCGGCCUCUCCCUGCCCCCGCCCCUCCGGGGCCCCACAGGGCGGCCAGUGCAGACCUGGGUGUGCAACGGCCCCAUCAGCGUUUGUUUCAUGAACAAAUAAAUGUCUAAAUUCAGGACCCA